AGAACCGUGGACAGCAACAUUUCCCACAGGACACGAAGUUUGUCGGCCCUUGCCUUGGCAGAGCUGAGUAAGAAAAAUCACCAAGAAUAUUAUUUUUGGUAUUUGGAAUUGAAUUUGCCAGGAAUGCAAGCACUGCUACCUAACUAAAGACCUUGGCUUUGGAAACAUCUUACCCCUUGGCAGCUCUCCAGAGUUUAGACUUGGCAGCAUCAAAGACACAACGCAAGGUAAACAGGAUUAUAAAAAAACUAAACCUAUUUUACGAGCAACCAAAUUAAAAGCAGAAGCAAAGAAAACAGCAAUAGGCAUAAAGACUCACCACGGAUGUUGACCCUGAUCUGGACCAAGAUGAAGAUUAGCUAAGCAACAAUCAAUGCAUGAAAGAGAAAUAACUUUACGAAAGCACCUUUUGGGACCAAAACUUUCAAUACUGAAACUGUAACAUCUUUAAUUCUUUCUGCUAAUAUUUUCAGUUUGCAGACAUAUGAUUUUUGAUAGUUGCAUAGGAUGUCAGGAAAAGAACCUUACCUAGCAAUGCAGUAUAGUAUGUGCUACU
rnacentral:lncRNA from 1 species